rnacentral:misc_RNA from 1 species
AAGUCGUAACAAGGUUUCCGUAGGUGAACCUGCGGGAAGGGAUCAUUAAAGAGUUGUCCUGCACCCCCGUCUGGGGGAUGAGGGUCUACGGGGUGAGGGCUCGGGAGUUAAACCCCCCGGGGUCCCCGUCUCUUCCACCCCUGCUGUAUACCUUCCACGUUUGCUUUGGCGGGCCUGGGUACGUCCUUCUGGGGCACCCUGCCGGCCGUCGGACUUCGUCCCCCGCCGGCGAGCGCCCGCCAGAGGCCCUUACCAUUCUGAUUUUUUUUCAAUGUCGUCUGAGCAAAAAGCACAAAAUAAAUAAAA